GUUGUUUUCUCAUUUGAAUGAGUUGGAGUCUGGAGAUAGGCCCAUUUCAAAGAUGGCUGGCCGCAUCCUCAGGCCUGCAUUCUAGCCUUUUCCAUUUUCAAGAGCGCCUCAUGAGAUCUGCUCCUCCAGGAGGCUGAAGGACGGGGAUCUGCUGAAGAAACUGCACCAGAAAAGGAGUCUUCAGUCCCAGUAGAGUGAAUUUGGCCAGACGCUGUUCGAAGAGGGUCCCCUUGAGACAGCUGCACAUCUGACUAUUUCCCAUGGAAAGGGUCCAUGGACCAUCACUUCGGAAUCACCAGGGAGCUUGUGAAGAUGCAGAUUGCGAGGUCCCUGGCCCUGGAGGACAAUUUCUAUGAUCAAGGCCUAGGGAGUGGUGUUUCUAACACCACAAAUUUUCUAAGGGAUCCUCUUUUGCCCUAGUUAUGUUCAGCAUUCAUUGCCCAAAGUAAGACUGGUGUUUAUCUUUCAACAAAGGAACAAAUCUGACGAAUGUAUCGGUGGUGUGGGCAGUAGCUGGGGAGCCCGCAACUUAAUAUCCAGGGUUGUAUCAGCCCUCUGUGUGUGCUUUGGUUGAUUUUGUGGUUAUUUUAACUUUAAUGUGAUGCUGGGAAGGAUUGAAGGCUAAAGGAGAAGAGGGAGACAGAGGAUGAGAUGGCUAGAUUGCAUCACUGACUCAAUGGACAUAAAUUUGAGCAAAUUUUGGGAGAUGGUGAAGGACGGGGAGCCUGGCGUGCUGCAGUCCAAGGGGUCACAAACAGCGGGACAUGACUUAGAGACUGAACUUAACUUUAAUGUAAGUAUAAUUGAUUUUCAGGAACACUGAUAAGAAUGAAGCCAUUUGCAGAAGAAAAAAACUGAACCAGGAAGAGAAGGCAGCCGAGAGUAAGAGGGAAGGGAUGGCUAGGGGAAAAUGCAGCCCAGUGGGCCAGACUGGAGAAGGGGAGGGACAGAAACACACGAGAGAUGGGCAAGAAAGGUCACUCCUGAGCAGCUGUCAACAGGACAUCAGAGAGACGGGUCUUUAAGAUGUUUUGCUGUGGGUCCGUCGCAAGAGAGUUGAAAUGUUUACAUUCAUUAUGAAGUUUUCUUUGGAUAUUGGCGUCAUCCCUGAAUGUGAAAUUACCCUGAAGUGGCUGCCAGGUACCCUCGUUGUACUGGGGCUACAGGCAAUUGUGAAAAACACAGAAUUCAGAAUAUUGACGGGUCUGGGAUAGAGAUGCUUCGCUGUAGUGUCUACACAGGGAAGCAAGAAGAAAAGACAGGAAGGGCCCAGAGAUGCUGAAAACACCCGCCGUCUAGGGACCAGGUAAGAUUCCUAGUUCUAUCAGCUGGCAGAGUACGUCUACUCAACUUUCUUCUCUGCAUGUAUGCACGUUAAGUCGCUCAGCUGUGUCUGACCGCAAUCCCAUGGACUGUAGCCCACCCGACUCUUCUGUGCAUGAGAUUUGCCAGGCAAGAAUACUGGAGUAAGUUGCCAUUUCCUCCUCCGGGGGAUCGUUUCUUAAGAACUGCUAAGCCUGGCUUAAGCUUUAUUCUGCUGAAAGAACACAGCCUUCAGCAUGGGGUAUGUCAAGUUUUCCUUCAAUGACACAUAAUAGAAGCUGCCCAGCCCAAAAUUAAUCAUCCCAAUUUUCUCAGGAGGAAAGAAGCGUCUUUCGAUCCAACCACAUAUGCAAACUGCCUGGCACACACUGGCAUCUCAAUAGAGCCAAGUCACUGCCACCGGGAGAUAGCCAGAAUUCCUUGCCCCUGACCUGUGUGUCCAGGGUGUCCCCCACCACCACUCCCCCCAAUUAGCGGCCUGUGGGGCUGAAGUCCCAUCAUGCUCAUGCUUCUGCCCAGGCAGAGCACAAGUGACCAGCUUCUAUCAUGAAAGCCA
ensembl:lncRNA